rnacentral:rRNA from 1 species
AGUCGGACGGUAGCACAGAGAGCUUGCUCUCGGGUGACGAGUGGCGGACGGGUGAGUAAUGUCUGGGGAUCUGCCCGAUAGAGGGGGAUAACCACUGGAAACGGUGGCUAAUACCGCAUAACGUCGCAAGACCAAAGAGGGGGACCUUCGGGCCUCUCACUAUCGGAUGAACCCAGAUGGGAUUAGCUAGUAGGCGGGGUAAUGGCCCACCUAGGCGACGAUCCCUAGCUGGUCUGAGAGGAUGACCAGCCACACUGGAACUGAGACACGGUCCAGACUCCUACGGGAGGCAGCAGUGGGGAAUAUUGCACAAUGGGCGCAAGCCUGAUGCAGCCAUGCCGCGUGUAUGAAGAAGGCCUUCGGGUUGUAAAGUACUUUCAGCGGGGAGGAAGGCGAUGGGGUUAAUAACCUUAUCGAUUGACGUUACCCGCAGAAGAAGCACCGGCUAACUCCGUGCCAGCAGCCGCGGUAAUACGGAGGGUGCAAGCGUUAAUCGGAAUUACUGGGCGUAAAGCGCACGCAGGCGGUCUGUUAAGUCAGGUGUGAAAUCCCCGGGCUUAACCUGGGAACUGCAUUUGAAACUGGCAGGCUUGAGUCUUGUAGAGGGGGGUAGAAUUCCAGGUGUAGCGGUGAAAUGCGUAGAGAUCUGGAGGAAUACCGGUGGCGAAGGCGGCCCCCUGGACAAAGACUGACGCUCAGGUGCGAAAGCGUGGUGAGCAAACAGGAUUAGAUACCCUGGUAGUCCACGCCGUAAACGAUGUCGACUUGGAGGUUGUUCCCUUGAGGAGUGGCUUCCGGAGCUAACGCGUUAAGUCGACCGCCUGGGGAGUACGGCCGCAAGGUUAAAACUCAAAUGAAUUGAC